AGGAAUAUUGGUCAAUGGGCGCAGGCCUGAACCAGCCAAGUAGCGUGAAGGAUGACUGCCCUAUGGGUUGUAAACUUCUUUUAUAAAGGAAUAAAGUCGGGUAUGUAUACCCGUUUGCAUGUACUUUAUGAAUAAGGAUCGGCUAACUCCGUGCCAGCAGCCGCGGUAAUACGGAGGAUCCGAGCGUUAUCCGGAUUUAUUGGGUUUAAAGGGUGCGUAGGCGGCCUUUUAAGUCAGCGGUGAAAGUCUGUGGCUCAACCAUAGAAUUGCCGUUGAAACUGGGGGGCUUGAGUAUGUUUGAGGCAGGCGGAAUGCGUGGUGUAGCGGUGAAAUGCAUAGAUAUCACGCAGAACCCCGAUUGCGAAGGCAGCCUGCCAAGCCAUUACUGACGCUGAUGCACGAAAGCGUGGGGAUCAAACAGGAUUAGAUACCCUGGUAGUCCACGCAGUAAACGAUGAUCACUAGCUGUUUGCGAUACACUGUAAGCGGCACAGCGAAAGCGUUAAGUGAUCCACCUGGGGAGUACGCCGGCAACGGUGAAACUCAAAGGAAUUGACGGGGGCCCGCACAAGCGGAGGAACAUGUGGUUUAAUUCGAUGAUACGCGAGGAACCUUACCCGGGUUUGAACGCAUUUCGACAGCUCUGGAAACAGAGUCUCUAGCGAUAGCGAUUUGCGAGGUGCUGCAUGGUUGUCGUCAGCUCGUGCCGUGAGGUGUCGGCUUAAGUGCCAUAACGAGCGCAACCCUUGCCACUAGUUACUAACAGGUAAAGCUGAGGACUCUGGUGGGACUGCCAGCGUAAGCUGCGAGGAAGGCGGGGAUGACGUCAAAUCAGCACGGCCCUUACAUCCGGGGCGACACACGUGUUACAAUGGCGUGGACAAAGGGAGGCCACCUGGCGACAGGGAGCGAAUCCCCAAACCACGUCUCAGUUCGGAUCGGAGUCUGCAACCCGACUCCGUGAAGCUGGAUUCGCUAGUAAUCGCGCAUCAGCCAUGGCGCGGUGAAUACGUUCCCG
rnacentral:rRNA from 1 species